GAUGAACGCUGGCGGCGUGCCUAAUACAUGCCAGUCGAACGAAACUUCUUUAUCACCGAGUGCUUGUACUCACCGAUAAAGAGUUGAGUGGCGAACGGGUGAGUAACACGUGGGCAACCUGCCCAAAAGAGGGGGAUAACACUUGGAAACAGGUGCUAAUACCGCAUAACCAUAGUUACCGCAUGGUAACUAUGUAAAAGGUGGCUAUACUACCGCUUUUGGAUGGGCCCGCGGCGCAUUAGCUAGUUGGUAGGGUAAAGGCUUACCAAGGCAAUGAUGCGUAGCCGAAUUGAGAGGUUGAUCGGCCACAUUGGGACUGAGACACGGCCCAAACUCCUACGGGAGGCAGCAGUAGGGAAUCUUCCACAAUGGGCGAAAGCCUGAUGGAGCAACGCCGCGUGGGUGAAGAAGGUCUUCGGAUCGUAAAACCCUGUUGUUAGAGAAGAAAGUGCGUGAGAGUAACUGUUCACGUUUCGACGGUAUCUAACCAGAAAGCCACUGCUAACUACGUG
rnacentral:rRNA from 1 species